ensembl:lncRNA
AUCUUUAUUAUAUUUGCUCGCCCUAUCCAAGAGCAUUUAAUAUUUUUCCAAUUGGUUAGAUCAGACUUAAUUUGUGUGAAAAUGUACAAUUAGCUUGUGAAGGAAAUCAAAAAUGCAGGUGUGCAUAAAUAUAGGGAUUGGGAAUUUAAUGUAAUGGUUUUUAGUCAUCUCCCAGAGUUAUUUUUCUGGGCAUAGCUAGUUCAGUUCAUUACUGCUCCAUUAGAAAUGAUUUGGUUGAUCUCGUUGCUGAGGGGUCAUCCAUCAUCUGAUCAAUGGAGGGAAAGAAGGAGAGAAAGAGAGAACUUCAUCUUCCAAUUCCUUUUUGACUACCUUUUGACUACCACUUAUCUGGCCUGAUGAUGAAAUGUUUAUUGUGUUAUAUAUGGGUCCAGAAGUAUAUUUGAUUAUUUCAACUAAUCACAAGAUAGUCCUUGAGUAGCAUCAUAUGCUUAUAUCCAGUAAUCCCAAAGCAUCUAGGAUCUUCACAAAUUGAUAAAAGAUUUAUUCAUAUGUAGCUUUUUAUUGAUUACAUUAAUUGAGGUGGGGAUAAAAGCCUUUGCCUUUACAUAUAUCAUAGGUAUGUUCAACUAGGUAUCCUUUUGUGGGCAGAUCCAUGUCUUAUGUACUACUAUGGAGAGAAGCAGAAGAAUAAGACAUUGUCUCUGACCUCUGGAAUUCUUAUUGUAUGCAUUUGAAUAUAAGGCAAUGGAAAACAAAAUUUAUAAUCAAUCAUAGUCAAACAAAGAUGUACACAUGAAUUCACAAUAAUGAGAAAACUGACUUCUCUAGUCUCAACUGGGACUCGAUUGGGUCAAGGUAAUAUUAGGGCAUCACGAGAAACGGUUGGAACAUCAAUCUUCACAUUGGAGUGAGAAAAGAAAGAUGGCCUAUAAAAAAUCUUCAACUCUGGAAAUUUUACUUCCAGACAAAUUAAAAAGCAAAAUAAAAUGUGCUGAGACUGAGCUAGAAGCAUUUACAUCCAUUUUCACCUUCCCCCCUCUGUACAGAUCACAACAGGCUGGAAAUGAAGGUGAAAAGAGGAAGGUUAUUACUGAAGUUGUCAGUUUACACCAGUCCUUUCCCCGAUAUGCCAUUCAUGCCUUCCUUCAGUAUCACCAGGAACAUGUAGCAUAUCCAUACAAAAACUAUUCAACAUAAGUGAAGUCAAUGGGGCAUAAGCUACACAAGUUCAGGAUACUUUGUGGGUCCACAGCCACACAAAAAUCUUAAUUCAAAUGUUUCCACUGGGGCUUUGCUUUUUUUAAGUCAAAAGGCACACUUUUUAAAGGCAUUUAAUGUAAUAGCAUAAGAAAAUAGAAUAAGAAUAUUCCUUCUCUAGAACUCCAGAUUUUUUCAGGGGAUGUCAUUGUGCUGUUCUCUGAGCAAAUGAGUUAGAAAAAGAAAAGGUAAAUUACUCCAGUAUCUUUGCCAAGAAAACUUCAACUGAAACAACUAAACAACAAGAGCAAUAGAGAUAUACCAUAAACAUAUCCUCUAGAUUACUGUAAGCUACCUAUAAAUAGAAAAGCAUUUUUAAAAAAAAAAAAGCUGUACAGUGCAGAGCCAUGGUAAAAUGAAAAAAGGCUUUUUAGCAAACUGUAUCAUGUUUAAAUAUUUUAAUAAUCUAUUUAAAAUUUCAAUCAAUGUAUACUUGUGUGUUAAGCAUUUCUUAUGCAUAGAAGAACUAAAAAGCUGUCCUAUACCUGAACACUGUGUGUUGCGUACCUUUUUAUUUCUCUCUUUGAGGAGUUCCUAGACAUGUCUAGGACAUGAAACAAAAACUAAGCUUAAAUAAUUUUUAACUCGAAGCAUUGGGAUAGUGUUAAGAGCCAAGAGUAUGAAAGAGAGACUACCCUCACUCUCCCAGUGGAGUGAGGGUGAAUGCUUAACAACAGCUCUCUAUAAAGAACUGUAUCCUCUGAGCAGAACAUUCUUUGAAGUUUAAUCUGCAUUACUGAUAUUUUUUUCAUUACUUUUUUCAAUAGAGACAAU